AGUGGAAUUUCUGGGUCAUACAGUCACUUUAUGUUUAACUUUUGGAGGAACUACCAAACUAUUUUCCAGAGUGGCUGUACCAUUUACAUCCCCACCAGCAAU
rnacentral:pre_miRNA from 1 species